rnacentral:rRNA from 1 species
AUUGAACGCUUGCGGCAGGCCUAACACAUGCAAGUCGAGCGAGCGGCGGACGGGUGAGUAAUGUAUGGGGACUGCCCGAUAGAGGGGGAUCACUACUGGAAACGGUAGCUAAUACCGCAUACUAUCGGAUAACCCAUAUGGGAUUAGCUAGUAGGUGAGGUAAUGGCUCACCUAGGCGACGAUCCCUAGCUGGUCUGAGAGGAUGAUCAGCCCCACGAGGACUGAGACACGGCCCAGACUCCUACGGAGUCAGCGGUGGGGAAUAUUGCACGAUGGGCGCAAGCCUGAUGCAGCCGUGCCGCGUGUAUGAAGAAGGCCCUAGGGUUGUAAAGUACUUUCAGGCGGGAGGCGUUACCGACAGAAGAAGCACCGGCUAACUCCGUGCCAGCAGCCGCGGUAAUAC